UAACCAUGGUGAUGACAUAAAUUCAAAAGGUCUUUAAAUCUUUCCAAAGCUUGGUACAAAGUCUCACUUUCUUUUUGUGAAAGGUCGAAAUUUGUCUUUUGAGAGC